AUUUUCUUCCUCCCUUAACCCAAACACUUCCAAUUUUCCUAUCAUUCAUUCUUCUCUUUCGUGAAUUCACUCAAACUCUUCUCAAUUUCGAUACUCCCAGUUCUGGCGAGGGAUCGUUGCCCCGUCCUUCUCCCUGGAUCAGCCGUCUCACUCUCUCUCUCUCUCGUUCUCACUUUAUCUUCCAAAUUCUCCUUUCAAUUUCCUGAUUUGGGUUGAAUGCUCACGCACAAGGUCGAGACCUAGCUCUUACUCUCAGAGAGUCGCGCCGCCGCUACCGAGACAAGUUCUGGUGAACGGUUGCUACUCCCUUCUCCUCCGGCGACUUUGGGCCCACGCUCUUGUCUCUCUGUUUUCUCUCGUUUCAAAAAUUCCGCCGCCUUCAUUGGGGAUUUCGGCGAGCCCUAGUCUCUCCCAAAAGAAAGAUGCUGGCUGUCUAUCUCUUCGCCUGGGUUCGCGAUUUCCAUCUCCUAGCCUUCACCCGCCGUCGACUUCUCCCACUGCUGGACGGAGCGGAGCAGCCCGCUAUUGCCAGCGCCGUCUCCUGAAGCUGCGUCGCUAUUUGCCACACACCCGGCUCCAACAUCGCAGUCGCUCCACCGCCUCACUUCCAAGGGAGUCACCACCGUUGCCAUGGGCGGCAUCCUCCGAUUAAACGUCGUUCCUCUUCCUCCGGUCAUCUGUGGCUGGACGUUGGAGCAGGACAGCGUCACCCAUUUGCGGUUCUCACAAGCUCAAGGGGAGUCUCUCACAAACAGAUUUUUAUUGAAGUAGGUGAACAAGGGAAUCAAAAUUCUAAACAAGAUUCAUCUCGUUGCUAUGCAAUUCUAGGGGAGAUCGGGUCAAUUUGGUUAGAGCUGGUAAACACCAGGUUAAUGUCUCCCUUAGAAGAGGACUUCAUGAAGUUGCAUUGAUUUAUUUAUUGUGUCUUCCAAGAAACAUUUUAGAAACGCAGUUUGAUAGCUUAUCUGAACUAGAGGAAUAAGCUGGUUGUUUUUCUUGUGAAAUGACCAAAUUUACUUGGUCUGCAUAAGUUGCACAGAAGAACCUUAUGAAUCAUUGAAGGGUCAGCUGGAGUUACUGUAUGGUCAGAUGAUACUAAUUCUGCCACUUUUCAUGCCUACUCGUGUCUUUCCCUUGCUUAUGCUACUUGUCAAGCUGUGGCUUCCAUCUUACAAGAUGUUGCUGGCUCAGGAGUCUUAUUUGCACUAUUGAAUCAUUGAUGUGCAAACACAAGGUCAUUAGUCUUGUUAACGCCCAAAAAGCAUCUCUUCAUCCUGAUGAUAUACUGUUGCUCUCAACUUUAUCAUGUCCUCUGAAUCUUUCAGACUCAACGUGAUGAGUUGGAGGCAAAAAAUUUUGAGGAGAGAGCAGCACUUGAAGACAAAUACCAGAAGGCAAUUUUUUUUGAGGAGAAAGCAGCACUUGAAGCCAAAUACCAGAAAUUGUAUCAGCCUCUUGUAGAGUGACAUUAUUUCUCUUAUGUACACGUUGGUUGGUUGAUUUAUUCACUUGUUGGAAUAGAGGAGUGGUUUUGUAUGCGACAUAUUCUUCGUUUUUGGAUGCUUUGUUUUCUCGUUACAUCAACUGUGUACUUGUUUCAGUAUUUUCAUUGUAACCUUUAAUUUAUUUUGAAUGUUAGAAUAAGUGUUCCAUA